UACGGGGGGAGCAAGCGUUGUUCGGAUUUACUGGGCGUAAAGGGCGCGUAGGCGGCCAGCACAAGUCAGUUGUGAAAUCUCCGAGCUUAACUCGGAAAGGUCAACUGAUACUGUGCGGCUAGAGUGCGGAAGGGGCAACUGGAAUUCUUGGUGUAGCGGUGAAAUGCGUAGAUAUCAAGAGGAACACCUGCGGCGAAGGCGGGUUACUGGGCUGAUACUGACGCUGAUGCGCGAAAGCCAGGGGAGCAAACGGG
rnacentral:rRNA from 1 species